rnacentral:lncRNA from 1 species
GAAGCAAAGAAAAUCCUUGGCUGAAGUAGGCCAUAAGAAGGUGGAAAAGUAGCACAGUAAGUGGAAGGGAGGAGAACCCAGAGUUAAGCAUGAGAGUGAUUGAUACCUGGAAAGAAAGUUUUGUUGGCGAGGAAAGGCCAGUAGGCAGAGGGAAACACAAGUCAGUUAUAACAGUCUCUCUGGGAGCCUGCCUAGCAUCCUGUGAGUGAAUAGCAGAUAUAGCUCGCCUGGCAGAGCCUCUCAGCUUUGGACUGGCAGUGGAUGGGACAAGAUAUGAGCUUCUGGAAUAAUUAGCCUUUUCUUGUGCCAGAUUGAUGAUGACAAGAGACGAGAUACAAUUCAGAGACUACAACAGUGCAAAUACGACAAAAAGCGAGUGAUUUUAAAGGAUCUCAAGCACAAUGAUGGCAAUUUCACUGAGAAACAGAAAAUAGAAUUGAACAAGUUGCUUCAGAUUGACUAUUACAA